GACUUCGAUAACGACAAUCACGACGACUUUUACAACAAUAGGAGAUAUGCAUGCAUACGCAUAGCGUAAGUGCGUUUUUUUGUCAAUUUGAUCAACCCGACCAUCUUCGUGAUAGGUUUCGAACCUAUCAAAUUUGACAUUAAAUCGUCACUUCCGCCCUGCGUAUGCAUCGCUAAUCUCUAAAUCGUGUGGCCAUCUUCGCGAUAGGCUCGAUAUGGUCAAAAUGAUUGAUUGAACCGGAUAUUUUACUGCGUAAACCGUGCGGCCAUCUUCGCAAUAGGCUCGACAUGGUCAAAAUGGGUGAUCGAGCAUCGUUCAUUUACUGCGUAAAUCGUGCGGCCAUCUUCGUGAUAGGCUCGACAUGAUCAAACCCGCGUACUUGAACAAAACGUGAUAGAAAAUAUACAAUAAUAAAAUAAUAAUAAAAGAAUAGACGAGAACUAUUUUGAUUCGUCAUCUUCAUUCGAUUCGAUCGUAUUGCUCGACGUGAUAAAUUUCGUAUAUUAAAAAAAAAAGAGACGAAAUUUCAUAUAUUUGGACAAAUUUAAAAAAAAAA
rnacentral:lncRNA from 1 species